UACGUAGGGUGCAAGCGUUGUCCGGAAUUAUUGGGCGUAAAGAGCUCGUAGGCGGUUUGUCGCGUCUGCUGUGAAAACUGGAGGCUCAACCUCCAGCCUGCAGUGGGUACGGGCAGACUAGAGUGCGGUAGGGGAGAUUGGAAUCCUGGUGUAGCGGUGGAAUGCGCAGAUAUCAGGAGGAACACCAGCGGCGAAGGCGGCGCUCUGGGCCGGUACUGACACUGAGGAGCGAAAG
rnacentral:rRNA from 1 species